AUUAUAUGAAAAUCUCUUUUUGAGUUUGCCAGAAGCUCGGAGAAAAAAUCUAAAAAAAGUCUGAGGUUAAAACAUGGCAUGAGAUUUGGUUUGGAAAAGAGCUUGUAAAGGUUUGGUUGUGGAUGAGAGGGAUGAAGUGAAUGAUUCUCUAGUAAGGGUCCAAAGCUUGCUCUCCAUCUCAGGGGUGCAGCAGGUUCGAUCAUAACUGAUGAACUCCAGGACCGAUUUGCCUCAAAUUUUGAUUAGAGAACUCAGAAGAACCACGGAAAUGUUUUCAGUCUGGUAUAAAACUUUUAAGUUGAGUUUAAGAUAAGCCAUAAAUUCUUUGUUAUGUAAAUUGCAUAUUUCUAUUUUCUUGAAUAAUUCCUAUUCAUUUGGAAUGUUCAUUGUUAGUUUCAAAUAUUAAAGUUGUAUCAAUAUAUUCAAUUUUGUUUAUGUGUACUAAGGAAAGUGUCAAUUUUGUAAUUAAGUUCUGGACAGUUAAUGAAAUUCCCCCCUGACCCC